ensembl:lncRNA
UUUUUAUUAAAAAAAAAGAGUCUAUAUACAUUGUGUGUAAAGGCAUGAGGUAGGUGAAUAAUUACAAUUUAGCAGAUUAACACUGGAGUGAUAAAUGAUCAGAUGGUCAUGUGCAGGUAGAGAUACUGUUGUGCAAAAGAGCAGAAAAGUAAAUAAAUAAAAACAGUUUGGGGAUGAGGUAGGUAAAUUGGGUGGGCUAUUUACCGAUGGACUAUGUACAGCUGCAGCGAUCGGUUAGCUGCUCAGAUAGCAGAUGUUUGAAGUUGGUGAGGGAGAUAAAAGUCUCCAACUUCAGCGAUUUUUGCAAUUCGUUCCAGUCACAGGCAGCAGAGAACUGGAAGGAAAGGCGGCCAAAUGAGGUGUUGGCUUUAGGGAUGAUCAGUGAGAUACACCUGCUGGAGCGCGUGCUACGGAUGGGUGUUGCCAUCGUGACCAGUGAACUGAGAUAAGGCGGAGCUUUACCUAGCAUGGACUUGUAGAUGACCUGGAGCCAGUGGGUGAUGAAAGGGGACAUAAGAUAAAACACUUAUGUAAACACCAGUACGUACACCAGUAACAUGUGAAACAGGAAAUGAACUACCAUCCUGAAGUAUGACUAAAAAUAAAAAGCACAGCAGUUUUUUGGGGCGAGACAAACGGGAGACGUUCAUCAGUAGGAAUAAACACCAUCCAUGUUACCGUGACGUCGACGGGCUCAGUUCCAUCUCUUGGCUAUCAACCCCCCUCCCUCCCUCCAACACCUACAAGCAGAUGACAAAUACAAUGACAGCAAUUGUAAAACAUCCACCUGGGCUCCUUUGAGUUCAAAUGUUUACCCAAAAUACCUGAUUUCACACUGUCGUCUUGUUUUCUGACGAUUGGGCUAGGUGUUGCAUGUCUAGUGUGGGGGCUAGGUGUUGCAUGUCUAGUGUGGGGGCUAGGUGUUGCAUGUCUAGUGUGGGGGCUAGGUGUUGCAUGUCUAGUGUGGGGGCUAGGUGUUGCACACACACGUUCUGGACAUUGCAACAGUUCAUUCAUGCAUAGAUCAUCAGAAACACUACAAACAUACCACCAGCAUGUAUACAGGUUUCAGACCACCAGCAUGUAUACAGGUUUCAGACCACCAGCAUGUAUACAGGUUUCAGACCACCAGCAUGCAUACAGGUUUCAGACCACCAGCAUGCAUACAGGUUUCAGACCACCAGCAUGCAUACAGGUUUCAGACCACCAGCAUGCAUACAGGUUUCAUACCACCAGCAUGCAAUGCAACGGUCAUUGACAGCUGUAUAAGAUGCUUGGUUAGUAUAGCCAGAGUUGAUGUCUCAAGAGAUACAUUAGAUAGAGUUGUAGCUAUAAAUGAUCGUGUUAGGGUUAUAGAGAGGUAUAAUGUUAUAGCUACCUCAACCAUAAUGUUCUUCUCUGGGGAUUUUGUAGAGACAUUGCAUCUCUUCUUGGCACCCCUGCCUGUAGUUGGUGGGCUUUCUUCCCGUUGACGCUUCUUCUCGGGUACCUCAUUCACGGAAUCACAGUUAAAACACCUGGUCUUGGUAUCACUAACAAAAAAGCUGUUAGAAUUGUAAGUAUAUGCAUGUCCCUGUGUAAUUGUAAUGUGAUAUUGUACCCCCUAGCGCGAUUGUCCAUGGUUUGUAAUCUAUGUAUGCUUGUGUUCUCUCAUGUGCUUUAUGUAUUGAUUUGUUGUUAAUAAUAAA